AAAGUCGUAACAAGGUUUCCGUAGGUGAACCUGCGGAAGGAUCAUUACCAUAUUUAAAAUAUUCAAACCCAUGUGAACGAUGAAAUAAAUGUCCUGGUUUUUGGGGUGGGCUUUUAUGUCUACCCCGACCAACCAAUUUGUAUAACUACUUUAUAAUUGUCAUGGCAUUUUGUUACAAAAGUGUAAUUAUUGUGACAACUUUUAACGGUGGAUCUCUUGGCUCGU
rnacentral:misc_RNA from 1 species